rnacentral:rRNA from 1 species
AAGUCCUACGGGGCGCAGCAGUAGGGAAUAUUGCUCAAUGGGGGAAACCCUGAAGCAGCAACGCCGCGUGGAGGAUGAAGGUUUUCGGAUUGUAAACUCCUUUUGUUAGAGAAGAUAAUGACGGUAGCUAAGGAGCAAGCCACGGCUAACUACGUGCCAGCAGCCGCGGUAAUACGUAGGUGGCAAGCGUUGUCCGGAAUUACUGGGUGUAAAGGGAGCGUAGGCGGGAAGCCAAGUCAGCUGUGAAAACUACGGGCUUAACUUGUAGACUGCAGUUGAAACUGGUUUUCUUGAGUGAAGUAGAG